UUUCCGUAGGUGAACCUGCGGAAGGAUCAUUAUCGUACAAAAUGUGAGGGGCAUGCGAGGGCUGUCGCUGACCCGAGAGUCGUGCACGCACGAGGGUGCCCUCUUGCAUAAUACUCCAACUAAACCUCUGUGCAUCCCCGCGUAGCCGCCCGCCGGGAUCAUCUCGGAAGGGGGCUCGCGAUUUCACACAAACCCCCCUUUUAUAAGUGUAGUAUGACCACAUUUCUGCAAUCAAUACAACUUUCAACAACGGAUCUCUUGGCUCUC
rnacentral:misc_RNA from 1 species